GACGAACGCUGGCGGCGUGCUUAACACAUGCAAGUCGAACGGAAAGGCCCUGCUUUUGUGGGGUGCUCGAGUGGCGAACGGGUGAGUAACACGUGAGUAACCUGCCCUUGACUCUGGGAUAACUUCAGGAAACUGGGGCUAAUACCGGAUAGGAGCUCCUGCUGCAUGGUGGGGGUUGGAAAGUUUCGGCGGUGGGGGCUGGACUCGCGGCUUAUCAGCUUGUUGGUGGGGUAGUGGCUUACCAAGGCUUUGACGGGUAGCCGGCCUGAGAGGGUGACCGGCCACAUUGGGACUGAGGUACGGCCCAGACUCCUACGUGAGGCAGCGGUGGGGAAUAUUGCGCAAUGGGCGGAAGCCUGAUGCAGCAACGCCGCGUGCGGGAUGACGGCCUUCGAGUUGUAAACCGCUUUCGCCUGUGACGAAGCGGGAGUGACGGUAAUGGGUAAAGAAGCACCGGCUAACUACGUG
rnacentral:rRNA from 1 species